CAGGCCUAACACAUGCAAGUCGAACGGCAGCGCGGGAGCAAUCCUGGCGGCGAGUGGCGAACGGGUGAGUAAUAUAUCGGAACGUGCCCAUUAGUGGGGGAUAGCCCGGCGAAAGCCGGAUUAAUACCGCAUACGACCUGAGGGUGAAAGCGGGGGAUCGCAAGACCUCGCGCUAUUGGAGCGGCCGAUAUCAGAUUAGCUAGUUGGUGGGGUAAAGGCCUACCAAGGCAACGAUCUGUAGUUGGUCUGAGAGGACGACCAGCCACACUGGGACUGAGACACGGCCCAGACUCCUACGGGAGGCAGCAGUGGGGAAUUUUGGACAAUGGGCGCAAGCCUGAUCCAGCAAUGCCGCGUGCAGAAAGAAGGCCUUCGGGUUGUAAACUGCUUUUGUCAGGGAAGAAAUCCUUUGGGUUAAUACCUCGGAGGGAUGACGGUACACUGAAGAAUAAGCACCGGCUAACUACGUGCCAGCAGCCGCGGUAAU
rnacentral:rRNA from 1 species